CCUGGCUCAGGACGAACGCUGGCGGCGUGCCUAAUACAUGCAAGUCGAGCGGUCCCUUCGGGGAUAGCGGCGGACGGGUGAGUAACACGUAGGCAACCUGCCUGUAAGAUUGGGAUAACUAUCGGAAACGAUAGCUAAGACCAGAUAACUGGUUCUCUCGCAUGAGGGAAUCAUGAAACACGGGGUAACCUGUGGCUUACAGAUGGGCCUGCGGCGCAUUAGCUAGUUGGUAGGGUAACGGCCUACCAAGGCGACGAUGCGUAGCCGACCUGAGAGGGUGAUCGGCCACACUGGGACUGAGACACGGCCCAGACUCCUACGGGAGGCAGCAGUAGGGAAUCUUCCGCAAUGGACGCAAGUCUGACGGAGCAACGCCGCGUGAGUGAUGAAGGUUUUCGGAUCGUAAAGCUCUGUUGCCAGGGAAGAACGCCUAGGAGAGUAACUGCUCUUAGGGUGACGGUACCUGAGAAGAAAGCCCCGGCUAACUACGUGCCAGCAGCCGCGGUAAUACGUAGGGGGCAAGCGUUGUCCGGAAUUAUUGGGCGUAAAGCGCGCGCAGGCGGUCAUUUAAGUUUGGUGUUUAAGCCCGGGGCUCAACCCCGGAUCGCACUGAAAACUGGGUGACUUGAGUGCGGGAGAGGAAAGUGGAAUUCCACGUGUAGCGGUGAAAUGCGUAGAGAUGUGGAGGAACACCAGUGGCGAAGGCGACUUUCUGGAC
rnacentral:rRNA from 1 species